UUCGGGUGAAGGUGGCGGACGGGUGAGUAACGCGUAAAGAACUUGCCUUACAGACUGGGACAACAUUUGGAAACGAAUGCUAAUACCGGAUAUUAUGACUGAGUCGCAUGAUUUGGUUAUGAAAGCUAUAUGCGCUGUGAGAGAGCUUUGCGUCCCAUUAGUUAGUUGGUGAGGUAACGGCUCACCAAGACGAUGAUGGGUAGCCGGCCUGAGAGGGUGAACGGCCACAAGGGGACUGAGACACGGCCCUUACUCCUACGGGAGGCAGCAGUGGGGAAUAUUGGACAAUGGACCAAAAGUCUGAUCCAGCAAUUCUGUGUGCACGAUGAAGUUUUUCGGAAUGUAAAGUGCUUUCAGUUGGGAAGAAGUCAGUGACGGUACCAACAGAAGAAGCGACGGCUAAAUACGUGCCAGCAGCCGCGGUAAUACGUAUGUCGCAAGCGUUAUCCGGAUUUAUUGGGCGUAAAGCGCGUCUAGGCGGUUUAGUAAGUCUGAUGUGAAAAUGCGGGGCUCAACCCCGUAUUGCGUUGGAAACUGCUAAACUAGAGUACUGGAGAGGUAGGCGGAACUACAAGUAUAGAGGUGAAAUUCGUAGAUAUUUGUAGGAAUGCCGAUGGGGAAGCCAGCCUACUGGACAGAUACUGACGCUAAAGCGCGAAAGCGUGGGUAGCAAACAGGAUUAGAUACCCUGGUAGUCCACGCCGUAACGAUGAUUACUAGGUGUUGGGGGUCGAACCUCAGCGCCCAAGCUAACGCGAUAAGUAAUCCGCCUGGGGAGUACGUACGCAAGUAUG
rnacentral:rRNA from 1 species